rnacentral:rRNA from 1 species
CCCCACUGCUAUCGGGAUAGGACUAAGACAUGCUAGUCGAGUGAUUCAGGCAAAACGAGUCACGGCGCACAGCUCAGUAACACGUGGCUAAUCUGCCCUUGGGACGAGAACAACCCCGGGAAACUGGGGCUAACUCUCGAUAGGCGAAGAACUCUGGAAUGAGUCUUUACCUAAACAAUGCAACGUUAUCCUCGUUGCAUCGCCCAAGGAUGAGGCCGCGACCGAUCAGGUUGUUGGCGAGGUAAUGGCUCACCAAGCCUUUUACCGGUGCGGGCCGUGGGAGCGGGAGCCCGGAGAUGGGCACUGAGACAAGGGCCCAGGCCCUACGGGGCGCAGCAGUCGCGAAAACUUUGCAAUAAGCGAAAGCUUGACAGGGCUAUCCCGAGUGCCAUCCGCUGAGGAAGGCUUUUACCCAGUCUAGAACGCUGGGGGAAUAAGGAGAGGGCAAGUCUGGUGUCAGCCGCCGCGGUAAUACCAGCUCUCCGAGUGGUGUGGAUGUUUAUUGGGCCUAAAGCAUCCGUAGCUGGCUAAGUUAGUCCCUUGUUAAAUCCACCGAAUUAAUCGUUGGAUUGCGGGGGAUACUGCUUGGCUAGGGGACGAGAGAGGCAGACGGUAUUUUCGGGGUAGGGGUGAAAUCCUAUAAUCCCGGGAAGACCACCAGUGGCGAAGGCUGUCUGCUAGAACGCGCCCGACGGUGAGGGAUGAAAGCUGGGGGAGCGAACCGGAUUAGAUACCCGGGUAGUCCCAGCUGUAAACGAUGCAGGCUAGGUGUUUGGACGGCCACGUGCCGUUCUAGUGCCGCAGGGAAGCUGUUAAGCCUGCCGCCUGGGGAGUACGAUCGCAAGAUUGAAACUUAAAGGAAUUGGCGGGGGAGCACCACAAGGGGUGAAGCUUGCGGUUU